CUUUCAGCUUGCAUACAGACUGCUGCCACGCCGGCUGGCUAGGUCGUUCUGUUCUCCAGGAUCCCAACCCGCUGCCAUUGAGCUGCUCAGAAGAGCCUUCCACCCAGCUUGGAGACUCACACAGACCUCCUACGGUUUUACCACCAUAUGCUCGGGACCAGCUCGGACUGCAGCCUACCCGCGCCCAGAUGCCUCCUCGGCUUUCAGCAGGCUGCCACCGACCACUGCCAAACACCACAGAUUAACUGAACACCUGUGCCACUUGCUGGUCAAAGAUAGUUACUGCAUCUGCAGUGGAAAUCAGGAGAAGAAAACCUUUGGAUACCAUCAAAGUUGAUCAAGAUUCGAGUGGAAAAGGAAAAACCUCUCAACGAGGACAAUUGACAGGUAUUCUACUAAGGUAUAUCUCAUAAACUAAAUAGAAACCCCCCCAAAGGAAAGGGAAGUGUUUUGCUUUUAUCUUCACAGGAAAACUCAUCUCCAGAAGGCAAAGGAUACUGCAUGGGUAGAUACUUAAGAAGAAAAGGUGGCUAUAAUCAUCAAACAAAAGGAACGUGCCAUAUGGUAAACUUUACAGCUGUCUCUCAGAGAACUCUAUUUCUCUUUAUUUCCUAGUCCCUAUUCAAUUAAAC
rnacentral:lncRNA from 1 species